UUGAUGGUGAAGAGAUUCACCCUCUUUCUGUGAAAUUUCCAAAAGGCAGAGUCAUCCCAGGCUCUCACAGUGGAAUUAAUAAUAAGCUCACUUGCCACCUCAGUUUCAAGUCAUCUAAACCUGUGUCAUUUUUUACCAAUCUUCUUUUCUGUGAUGACAGAAAAAACUGCUUCAGAUGGAUCUGUUCCACUUCCUUUGCAAUUUCUUCCUCUCCAAUCUG
rnacentral:lncRNA from 1 species